rnacentral:rRNA from 1 species
AACUCUUAUUGUAUACCCCCUCGCGGGUUUUUUUAUAAUCUGAGCCUUCUCGGCGCCUCUCGUAGGCGUUUCGAAAAUGAAUCAAAACUUUCAACAACGGAUCUCUUGGUUCUGGCAUCGAUGAAGAACGCAGCGAAAUGCGAUAAGUAAUGUGAAUUGCAGAAUUCAGUGAAUCAUCGAAUCUUUGAACGCACAUUGCGCCCGCCAGUAUUCUGGCGGGCAUGCCUGUCCGAGCGUCAUUUCAACCCUCGAACCCCUCCGGGGGGUCGGCGUUGGGGAUCGGCCCUGCCUCUUGGCGGCGGCCGUCUCCGAAAUACAGUGGCGGUCUCGCCGCAGCCUCUCCUGCGCAGUAGUUUGCACACUCGCAUCGGGAGCGCGGCGCGUCCACAGCCGUUAAACACCCAACUUCUGAAAUGUUGACCUCGGAUCAGGUAGGAAUACCCGCUGAACUUAAGCAUAUCAAUAA